AAAACUUUCAGGUUUUCAUCCAUCCGUUGUCUAGACCCGUUUUUCUUUGGAGGGUCACAUGGGGGUUUGGGUGGAGAUUGUCAGUGGGUACACCCUGGGAAGGUCACAGAUCAGGCGCCCUAUAGAAAGCUGACAGCCCACCUCAGGGCAAACUCAGAGACAUCCCUCUCGCACUGAAGAGCAGUAGUACAGUCUUCAUUUCCCCUAACAUGCAUGCUUGGUACCAGAGUACCUGGAGUAAACCUACGCCUGCACAGGGAGAACAUGCAAACGCUUCACACAAAGCAGCCCUCCGGGAUUGGAACCCUGGAUCUUCUUGUUCUGAAGCAAGUUCCUCAUUUCGAAAAUCACUCUGAGCCAUGGCUGCAUGCAACCAGAAAACACCAAACCCACACGCCGUGAUUCCCCACUGAACCACGAUCCAGUCCGGUUUUAUCCAUUUUGAUUUCUGAACUGCAGGCAUGCUGGUUCGUAGCUAAUUACUAAUAAAUGAUAAAUCACA